rnacentral:misc_RNA from 1 species
CAGUUAUUCCAUCAGGACUGAUCUGCACCGGUCAAGCAUAAACACACAAUAUAAAUUUCUUAUCAUUGCUAAACAUCCUUUAUAAUAGUUGAGGAAGAAUUGAUAAUAAUUUUCCAUCACAUCUGAUCAUGGUUCUUGGUUUCUUUUGUUUUCUUUACUUUUUCUGAUAAAGAAGAUUUUAUUAAUAACAGAGGGAAAUGUAAAUUAUUCAAUUUAUUCAAUCAGUACCAUCAUAAAAAUUUUAAGUUUUUAAGCAUUCCAAGAGAUUGUUUCUAACCUUUUAUUUGAUAGAGAUAGGUCACUAAGCACUAAACAUUUUGGUUUCUGACACCUAUAGAUUUGAGCAUUUCAUCAAUUCUGACUAAAAUGAACCCUGUGCAAAUUAUAAGUAAAGCUAAUAUACAUCAUAUGUCUU